AUUGAACGCUGGCGGAAUGCUUUACACAUGCAAGUCGAACGGCAGCACGGGUGCUUGCACCUGGUGGCGAGUGGCGAACGGGUGAGUAAUACAUCGGAACGUACCCAGUCGUGGGGGAUAACGUAGCGAAAGUUACGCUAAUACCGCAUACGUCCUGAGGGAGAAAGCGGGGGACCGUAAGGCCUCGCGCGAUUGGAGCGGCCGAUGGCGGAUUAGCUAGUUGGUGGGGUAAAGGCCUACCAAGGCGACGAUCCGUAGCGGGUCUGAGAGGUCGGCCCGCACCACUGGAACUGAGACACGGUGCAGACUCCUACGGGAGGCAGGAGUGGGGAAUUUUGGACAAUGGGCGAAAGCCUGAUCCAGCCAUUCCGCGUGAGUGAAGAAGGCCUUCGGGUUGUAAAGCUCUUUCGGCAGGGAAGAAACGGCUUGGGAUAAUACCCCGGGCUAAUGACGGUACCUGAAGAAGAAGCACCGGCUACUACGUGCCAGCCGCCGCCGUAA
rnacentral:rRNA from 1 species